rnacentral:rRNA from 1 species
UCUCCUGGAAACGGGUGGUAAUGCCGGAUGUUCCACAUGAUCGCAUGUGAUUGUGGGAAAGAUUUCAUCGGCGUGGGAUGGGGUCGCGUCCUAUCAGCUUGUUGGUGAGGUAACGGCUCACCAAGGCUUCGACGGGUAGCCGGCCUGAGAGGGCGACCGGCCACAUUGGGACUGAGAUACGGCCCAGACUCCUACGGGAGGCAGCAGUGGGGAAUAUUGCACAAUGGGCGCAAGCCUGAUGCAGCGACGCCGCGUGAGGGAUGGAGGCCUUCGGGUUGUAAACCUCUUUUGUUUGGGAGCAAGCCUUCGGGUGAGUGUACCUUUCGAAUAAGCGCCGGCUAACUACGUGCCAGCAGCCGCGGUAAUACGUAGGGCGCAAGCGUUAUCCGGAUUUAUUGGGCGUAAAGGGCUCGUAGGCGGCUCGUCGCGUCCGGUGUGAAAGUCCAUCGCUUAACGGUGGAUCUGCGCCGGGUACGGGCGGGCUGGAGUGCGGUAGGGGAGACUGGAAUUCCCGGUGUAACGGUGGAAUGUGUAGAUAUCGGGAAGAACACCA